ACAUUUCCCAGUAUUAUCGAAGAUCAAGCAAGAAAGAAAAAGACAGAAAACAAAUGCGAAACCACAGCUUCCUUGGCUCUUUUUGCCCAUAUGCCGAAGAGCCGAGCAUUGCCGCCAAGCAUUGGCACCGGCCAUGCGGAGACUAGCGAAAGCUUUGCAAUUCCUCUACUUCUCAGUGAUGACUCGGGCUUUCUCCUUACAUUCUUGAUGGGCAUGACCGGUGCUGUCAGCUGGGUGGCCAAUUUCUGUUCUUCAGCAGAACUGUCUCCCUUCUUGGGGGCCGAGGGCUUUCUGGGGAAGAGGAUGAGUUUGGAGCAAUACUCAUUCAGACGCUGCACAUUGGCCUGCAGGGAAUCGGUGGACUUGUUCUGCCUCCUCGGAUCCACAGAGAUGCCAGUGGUCCGGGUCACCUUCUUGUGAAUGCCCGCCACCCUGAGCUCCAGGCUGAAGCCUCUGCCGGCGCGCACCUUGAUGUGAUAACGCACAGCAGGGCACAGCACAAUGGGCCAGAUGGGUCCCGACUCUCCGGGCGCGGGGCGAUGCAGCGCCCUUUGGCUUGCCGGGCCUUGAUUCUGCGGAUCUUCUGGUUGAACCACGUGGCCACACGCUGCUGCCAGUCCUUGUGGAAGUGGGGCUUCAACAUCAUGCCAUUCCUGCUGGGCGCCAUGGCUGCCUACGGCCCUCCUACGAAGGAAACACUUUAUAGAUUUCUAUAGCAGUGUUACAUAGUAAGGUUUUAUGGCGAGUUUUGUAGCAUGGAUCAUACUACCUUAGGACUGAUGGUAAAGUUUUAGUCUAAGGAAAGCUCUGAAAAUUUGAAAAUGUGUAACCACCCAAUGAGUUCAGCUUGCCCACUGCCUAGACAGAACCAUUUAUCAAGACGGGCAUGCAAAGCCGGCUGUGUGGGAGACCCGUUUUAUUAUUAUUCAAAUCAGUCUCCCCAAGUGGAUUGCAGUUUUUAAGGAUAAUUUGGUGGGUAGGGGACCAGUGAGUUGGGAAAGUUGAUUAGUCGGGUCGGAGAUGAAAUCAGAGGGAGUCGAAGCUGUCCUCUUGUGUUGGCUUAAUUUCUGGAUGGGGGCCACAAGACCAGAUGAGCCAGUUUAUCGUUAUGGGUGGUGCUAGCUGAUCCAUAGAGUACAGGGGCUGCAAAAUAUCUCAAGAACUGAUCUUCGGUUUUACAAUAGUGAUGUUAUCCUGAGGAGCAAUUGGGGGAGGUUUAGAAUCUUGCAGCCUCCAGCUGCAUGACUCCUAAACCAUAAUUUAUAAUCUUGUGGCUAAUUUGUUAGUCCUGCGAAAGCAGUCUAGUCCCCAGGCAGGAAGCGGGUUUGUUUUGGAAAGGGCUGCUAUUGUCUUUGUUUCAAAGCUAAACUAUAAACUAAGUUCCUCCCAAAGUUAGGUCAGCCUACGACCAGGAAUGAACAAGGACAGCUUGGAGGUUAGAAGCAAGAUGGAAUUGGUUAGAUCUCUCACUGUCUCAGUUGUAAUUUUGCGAUGGUGUUUUCAAAUGUUGAUUUAAAGAAGACCAUAAAUUUGUGUUGCUUUCUCAGAUUUUGAGAAUAAGGACAAAAAGUGUAUGUUUUAAUGGGAGAAUCUUAAGAAUUUCACUACUGAAGUGGAUUUCUCUGUCCAUUAACAGUGCUAAAUGUUUUGUAUUUCCCAGUUGGAAAAACAAAAUCUGCAAGCUUUGAAUGAUACUUGUUAUUAGGUUUUGGUAACAGCUGUUGUACUAUUCCCAUUUCAAUGCUCAAUAGCCACACGUGGCAUGUCAUACCUACCAGGUGGACAGCACAGAUAUAGAACAUUUUCAUCAUUGUAAAAAGCCCUAUUUGACAACACUAACUUAAAGUAUUAAUCUUUUAGAAGAGAAAGCUUCAGUCCAACCCAAAUUACACAAUUUUACUUUUGAAAAUAUUGUUGAAACAACGUUCAAUUUUUUAAAAUUUUGGAAAACUGAAUGAAAUCCAUUUGUAAAUGCACAAAUGGUACUGGAGGUGGAAAACUGAAGCCUUGCUAUAGUUUUAGUUUUUUGGAGGGUUAUGAUCAACACAGAGAAGAAAAGAUUCAUCUACCCAUAGAGCUUCUUGAGAAAAAUUUUCUAACAAUAAUUUUGAAAAUUUGUAGUGAAUUUGUUCUUGCCAUUAUUUAUGGGUGCUUUCAUGUGCGAGGCACAUCAAAGUUCUGGGGAAUGACUUAGGCACAACCAAAUGGCUAUCUUGGGAAGACCAAAGUCCUUUGCUAUAUAUGAGAGUUUUGAGAUGGCGACUACCUUUCUGUAUGGUAGAUUCUUGUUUUUGAAUAUGCCCUCUGGGUUUUCAAAACAAAUUGUUUUUACAAUACCUAUAGUAGUUAUCUAGGGCAUAUUCUUUAGCUUCAAAAAUUCUAUCUUUAGAAUGGGCUUCAAUAUUCAUAACUGAGUUAUUUUCCUCUAAUAAAUCAUUAACAUUUUCCCAUGU
ensembl:lncRNA LINC01623 long intergenic non-protein coding RNA 1623